UACACACACUAGAGUUUGAUCAUGGCUCAGAUUGAACGCUGGCGGCAUGCUUUACACAUGCAAGUCGAACGGCAGCGCGGGGCAACCUGGCGGCGAGUGGCGAACGGGUGAGUAAAAUAUCGGAACGUACCCAGAAGUGGGGGAUAACGUAGCGAAAGUUACGCUAAUACCGCAUACGAUCUACGGAUGAAAGUGGGGGACCUUCGGGCCUCAUGCUUUUGGAGCGGCCGAUAUCUGAUUAGCUAGUUGGUGAGGUAAAGGCUCACCGAGGCGACGAUCAGUAGCUGGUCUGAGAGGACGACCAGCCACACUGGGACUGAGACACGGCCCAGACUCCUACGGGAGGCAGCAGUGGGGAAUUUUGGACAAUGGGCGCAAGCCUGAUCCAGCAAUGCCGCGUGAGUGAAGAAGGCCUUCGGGUUGUAAAGCUCUUUUGUCAGGGAAGAAACGGCCGGGGCUAAUACCUUUGGCUAAUGACGGUACCUGAAGAAUAAGCACCGGCUAACUACGUGCCA
rnacentral:rRNA from 1 species